rnacentral:misc_RNA from 1 species
AUUUUCUCUUUUUUUUUUCUUUUUCAUAUUAAUCACAUAUAAAUACAAGCUUUAUCACGGUUUCUACUUGGUUAUAGUGGUGGAUCUGCUAAAAGAACCGGCCAUGUAGAUCUUCCCUAUCAACAAAAAGGAGGGAGAGAGUGUGAGAGAGAGAAUAAGACAAAGAGAGAAGAAGGGACAGGGGGAGGGAGACGAAGAGGAGGAGAAAGAGAAAAAAUGGAUUUUGAUGAUCACGAAGACCAAGAAGAAGACAUGGGCUUGGCGGUGCCUGCAGGUUUUGACACGAUUAGCAACUCAUCUCGGCCAAAAAUGGGCCCAGCCGGUGGAGAAGGUGCGUUGACGACUGCAGCAACCGCGGCAACAACAAACAUGAGGAAAUCCGGAAGCUCGGUUAGAUAUAGAGAGUGCUUGAAAAACCACGCGGUGAACAUCGGUGGACAUGCGGUGGAUGGGUGCGGGGAAUUCAUGGCGGCAGGCGAAGAGGGUUCCUUGGAUGCACUCAAAUGCGCUGCGUGUAACUGCCACCGAAAUUUCCACCGCAAGGAGAUUGAUGGAGGUGAAGGAAUAUAUCAUCACCAGCAGCAUCAUCCCCAAUUCUCUCCUUUCUAUCGUGCUCCGCCACCUGCUGGAUACCUACACUUUACGCCGCCCCCACAGCAUAGGCGUUUAGCUCUACCGGCAGCAUCUGGAGGGGGAGCCGGAGGUGCUAUUUUUGGUGGUGGGUACAGCAGGGAGGAAGAGGAUGUGUCUAAUCCAAGUAGUAGUGGUGGGGGCGGCGGAGGUGGUGGUGCUGCUAGUGGAAGUUCAAAGAAGAGGUUUAGGACUAAGUUUACGCAGGAGCAGAAGGACAAGAUGUUGGAUUUCGCAGAGAGGCUUGGGUGGAGAAUCCAAAAGCACGAUGAGGCUGCGGUGGAGCAGUUUUGUGCAGAGAAUGGAGUGAAAAGGCAUGUGCUCAAGGUGUGGAUGCACAAUAACAAGCACACUCUUGGUAAGAAACCCUAAUUUUUAGAAAACUGAAAAUAAAAAAUAAACAACGAUAGAGGGAACCAUUUGUUAUCAUCUCCCAGCAAUCACACCGACACUAAGCUACAUAGUGCCAAGUGCCGAUCGACGAGAUAAUACUGAGGAAGGAAGUUAGAGAGCAUAUGACCAGCAGUGCAAUUGAUAUAUUUUCUGAAAGAAAAAAGAAUGGGAAAGUUGAAAGGUUGUGAUGUAAAAUUGGGUAGGGGUAGCAACAUAGACUAGGGUUCUUCUUAACUGUUUUUCUGUCUUCUUUUUUAGUUAUUUUUUCUUUCCAAUUUAGUUUUGUUUCUGAAUGUAGGAUGAAUUAAUGGUAAAGAUGAUGACGAUGACCCUGUAAUUUCUUGAAUGUGUUAUUGCUGAUAUGGGCCAUUUGCUCCUGAAAUCAGCAUCUCUAAUUAAUUCAAGUUUCUUGCUUGCUUGCUU